GCCGCAGUGAAUAUGAAAAAGCUACUGUUUAGAAUAAACAAAGGUCUCUGCGAAGCCGUAAGUCGAAGUAUAGGGGCUUACACAUGCCCGGUUAUGGAAGGUUAAGGAGAGGGGUUAGAGUAAGAGAAUCUAUGAACUGAAGCCCCAGUAAAAGUCGGCCGUAACUAUAACGGUCCUAAGGUAGCGAAAUUCCUUGUCGGGUAAGUUCCGACCCGCACGAAAGGUGUAACUAUUUGGGCACUUUCUCAUCCAGAGACUCGGUGAAAUUAUAGUAAAUGUCAAGAUGCAGUUUACCCGCUACA
rnacentral:rRNA from 1 species